UUCACACUCACAGUUACAUUAGCUUCACAACUAACUACAUAACACUGACUUAAUCAAUUCAUGUCAAUUAUUUCCAAGACAGAACUGGUUGCUGAAUAAGAACAAAUAAAACAACAUGAAAAUAAAAAUACAAAAUAAUGGAAAAAAAAAAAAGUAAAUAAAACAUAAAGCAGGUAGGCUCCAAUGAAAUCCAUUUUAAAAUCCAGUAUGUAAGUGGCAGGAACACAGCUGGAACAGUCUGUCUUUCUUGCAGGGGGGUUUCGGUCUGUAGUUAACUCCUCUAAAUGAAAUCAGUAGUUCAUUCUCUCAACCCAUUAUUUUACAGAUUUACAGCAACCUUUAUUUUAAUAAUGAAAGAACAUACAAACAAUGCUUCCUUUUCAGUUUAAUUACUUUUCCUAUCAUGGAGAACAAACAAACGCAAGAAGAGUUGAAAUCCAAAAUCAAGUUUCCUGAUUCUACUCUCACAGAAACAAACAACUCAAUACUCAAUUGUUGACAGGAGGAAUGAAGGAUAUAUUUUUUUUGCAUCUAUAUUAUUUUGUUCCCCCAUUAAUCUACAUUCACUUUUAUCAUGGCAAUCUAUCAUCAAUCCAGCUCUGAAGCAAUUGAUCUCAUUGUGGGAGAAAAUACUGAGAAAUUUUUGGUCAAACAAAGUUUUAAAUAUUCAAACCAUGGAAGUUUUAUUUUGAACUGAAAUGGUUCUUAAUAAAAAAAACUACAGCAAUAUCAAGAUUAAAAAAAAUACAAGAAUAAGUUAUUUUGGUAAACAGAAUUUUCACUGAGAUAUGAAGUUUUGAGAAAACAUUGAAGCAAUGACUUUUACUGAAAUAUUUUCAAGGUGUUUACAAGAAUGGUUGCAGCUAUGGUGUCACUCAUUCAGCAGGAUUUAUUUUCCAUCAUCAAACAAUAAAUACGAAAAACUUCUAACAAUACUGUUUGACAGAACUUACGAGAUAUAACAGAACUUGCAUAUGUUCUACUUUGGAUACUGGCCGUCUACAAUCAACAAGGUAUCACAUGAACUGAAAUGCUUUUCAUUCCUAACAAUCAUAAGUGCUUCAAGUUUAGUGCAAUUUAAUACAAUUUACAAAAUGUAAUUUUGUAUGAAGUUCACAAAUGAAAAUAUACAUUCUAGGUGAUUAACAUUAUAUGUUACCAUCAUUAUAAUUAGCAUCUUAAUAUUCAUCUUAAUCCUCAAUCAAUAUCACCAAUAAAAAAAUGGUUAUUCAAAACAGUACCUCAAGUAUGUUGGCUUUGUUGUGCAGAGGUUUCCCUAAUCAGACUUUCCGAACAGUACAGUUUCCUCCUGAAAAUUUCAGUAGGAAAUAUCCGGCUGUGCACAGACAAGGCCAAGCAUCUGAUAGCGGGGCAUUAAUAUAUAUUGUAGCGGUCCUGGUGUUUUAUUCUGCUGCUAUAAUUAUCAUGAUUAUCAAAUACCUCAAAUCUGAACGGAAAGAUCAACUUGAAGAUGCUUUGAUUGAGAACUUUUUCCGAGAUAUGCCAAAUGGUAAAGCAGAGAGAGAGAACCGUGUGAAUCAAGUAGCAAUCCAUGCUUUCCAUACCUUGACAACAGCUGUUUAUAAUGAUGAAUCUUUGCCUUCUACAAAUGAGGUACUUAUAACAGAUGUGUAGAGUUGUACAAAUCUUUUUCUUUUUUCUUUUUUUUGGUUUUUCUGAUAAUAAAUAUUUCUGAAUAGAU
rnacentral:lncRNA from 1 species